AUGAGGAAGCGCUGCAAGACCUGGCGUUCCCGCUGGCUCCGUGCACGUUGCAGCUCAUCCGCGCCCUGCUGGCCCGCGGCACGGGAACCGGGCACCUCGCUGCGGAUGGGGGCUCGACGGCACCCACGGGAGCCUCCCCCUGCACCCACGGGCCGCGCGGGGCCGCCGUCCCCUCCCCGCGUGACUCACGCUCCCUUCGCCCGCUCCAACAAUAGCCGGUUUCCGGACCGGCGGCUCAGCCCGUCUCGCUUUCCUGUUUUCCCUCGGCUGGGCCCAGCGCAGGUCCCCUGGUUCCCCACGUCUCCGAGCCUCAUCCCAGGGUGCAGGGAAAUUCCAGGGUUUUUUGCAAGCUUCAUCUCAGGGCCCAGGGAAAUGGUAGGUUUUUUGCAAGCCUCAGCCCAGGGUGCAGGGAAAUUCCCAUUUUUUUGCAAGCUUCAUCUCAGGGUGCAGGGAAAAUGCAGCUUUUUGCAAGCCUCAUCCCAGGGUGCAGGGAAAAUGCAGCUUUUUGCAAGCCUCGGCCCAGGGUGCAGGGAAAUUCCUAUUUUUUUGCAAGCCUCGUCCCGGGGCGCAGGGCCAGGCAUCGCUGCAGAAGCCUGCCUGCACCGGGGACAUUUCGCCGCUCAUGGAUGCAGGAGAGAGCUGGAGAAAUGGAGCAGCACUGGGGUCCGACCCUGGGGGGGCCCCUUUUGGCAUCCCCCCCCCCUUGCACCCACACACACCCAGCAAGCGGGUGCCGGGGCAGAGCCGGCCGCAGCAAGUGGCGUGACGGGGAGGCCACGCCGCGGUUUCGCUGACGCCAGCUCGUGGCCUUUUAACCUCCGGGAAGCGAAUUCUGUCAAGCGGCAGGACAACUGCAGGAGCAAAGUUUUGCGUGUAUUUUGGAGGGGCCCUUUGGCCCGCUCGGUGCCCCGGGUGGCCUCGCUGCGGGUGCUGCCCUGGGGUGGGGGGGAAUCGUCACGCUUUUCGCCGCCGUUUUGCAGGCGGGGGACCAGAUCUGCGAGCGGGGCUCCGAUUCAGCUUAAUCCUCCCAGCCCAGGGCCGCUUUUCCCCUCGCACGGCUUUCGCACAGGUGCUGCCGGUUUGCAACAGCCGCCGUGA
ensembl:lncRNA